UAUCACGACCAACAGAUUUCAAAUAAUUCCACGUGUUUCGAGACCACAAUGCAAGACAGGAAAAAGAGUAGUCAGUGGUAUACUAGUGGCCUAUACUAGAAAUUUCAGGACUGGAUCGACCCAUGCUUUCUAAUUGCAUCAAAUGAAUUUUCGUUGAAACGACGCAGCAGAAAUUACAAAAUGGAAAACCACGUCAAAACGUUUUUCAAUGUCCUCGUCUUCAGAAUCCACCGCUGAAGCGGAUCCUCGUGCAGUAGCUGCACAGUGCACAUUCAGCAGGUUUCGCGUUGUUGAGAACACAGUUUUUAAGGCGCAUGAAAUUUUAUUAUCAUUCAACGUACAUGAUUUUUCUAUACAUCCAAAUCUAGGAAGUAGGAGCCAAAAAAUCAAAAAUGAAAACGAUGUUGAUCGCAUUUUUGUAGCCAAGGCGACUGAUUCGCCGAAUUUGUGUCUCCCGGUGAGAUUAUAGUUGAUCAUCAGAUUGUAACUGGAUCACUUUACGCAGACGUACUUGACCGCCUUUUGAAAAUAAUUCGUAGGAUCAACCGGAACACGUACCAAUUACGAGAAUGGUUUCUCCUGCACGACAGUGUUUCAGUACACUCGUCGUUGAUUACCUUCGUUUCUAUCAUUCGUUUCUAUCAGCAACCUUUUGCUAGAAAAUCGGUUGCAGCGAUUGAUCUUUCACUCUUCCAUCUUCUACUGUCCGGGUUUGGCGCCUGCUGACUUGUUUCUGUUUCCUAAGCUGAAAAUGGCACUGCAAGGAUAGCGCGUUUGGACGAUGUAGAAACGAUCCAGAAGAACGUGUCAGUCCUUUUAGGUUCAAUUUCAAAAGAGCACUACGCACACGUCGUUUAAAAUUCACAUAGUGAAAGAAUGCACGUUGGCUAAUAGACAAUGAAAUUUCUUAAUAACGUUGGUCCCGGAACUUCUUGAGCGAACUGCGUCUACAGGACACCCUGUAUAUCGCAGAGUAGAAAAGCUGAAGAAUAAUGGAACGUUUAUAACGAAACGUUUAAAAGGCUGUAAUUAAAUAAACAGAUCAAAGAAGAGAUAGACGAAGCUAAGGGAAGAGAAGAGAUUGACAGUACAAUCGGGUCAUUGGAUGUAAUAACAGCGGCCUAUUAUUAUAAUUGACCACAACAGUGGCGAUGGGAGCGAUGGUAAUAGCGACGGUAGUGACAGUGGUAUCACCAGAAGAACGGUUGUUCGCGCCGUGUCUCUCUGGCACUGGAUUUCUCUAGCUCUUUCACGAUACCGUGGCAACGCUUGCAAUAAAUCUGUGGUGUGCUGCGAUAUGGCAAUCGGCAGACUGCGUGACAUAUCGAUGCUACGAAACUCACUGAUGCUGUGAUUCCAUGUUGAUUGACGGCCAAGGUAUUCGUCGUUGGAUUAGACCACGUCAUCUGGUCACAAGGUACCAUUUAUUAUCGUUGCAACGUGCUUUUGUUAAAACAAUUUUCUACUUCGUACUAUACAAUGUUUAAUAAUCUUUUAAUUCAAACCGAAAGGGAUCUCCAUAUUAUUCGAACGGCCUAAUAUUUAAAGGAGCUGCUAUCCGAAUAUUGAGUUAUCUAAAACAGAACGUCUGUUAGUGACAAAUGCUGUUACUAAUCUUCAUAUUUUUCUGUUUUAAAUACCAUUUUUACAUUUAAUAGUAGGGUGUCUUAGCUAAAUGAGUUCAGCUAAAUAUCUGCCUUAUUUAUGGGUGUAUGAGAGUAUUUUCUUGUCAGGACAAAGUUCAACCAUUUGAAGCCUUGUAAUGUGGCUUGUGCGUAAUACAGUUUUAUGAAAAUGAUUGCACUGAGAGGCAUCAUGGUGAUUCGCAUCGACACGUGUUUCGAUAUACGUAAACAAAGAUGUGCUCAACAGCACACCUGGCUAUUGAGUUUGGCAACCAAGUGAUUGUGGAUUUUGUCAUUAGGUGAUAACCUAAUGCCAUCCCAAUAGUUGCAGUACAUCUACAACAAAUCGUGAACUUAUGUUCUACAAAGAUCUUCAAAGGUACUUCAUUAGAGGAAUAAUAGAGUGAUGGACUGAAGAAUAGAGAAAUUUAAGGCCUAUCAAGCUACGCAAAGUCCGUAACAAUAUAAAUGGCGACAAUCUGGCUUUAUGGUCGAAUAGAAAAGAUCAAGUAACAUUAACUCGAUUAAGAAUAAGACCACAACUCUACCAUGUUAUCAAAACUGAGCUAAAUAUUUGUGACGUUUAAGGCAUAUUGAACUUCAUCGAAGGUAUCCUACCUAAUCGUCUGCCUUAAUCAGAAUAUCAGAAGGGUACAACAUGACCUAACAAACUAUAAAACUAAAUAACAUGAUAUAAAAAGAAGACUCCGACGAAAAAGCUCCAGAUUUUCUGAAAGAUAUUGCUUUAUAAUAAUUAUGUGUUCUGUCUCACUGAGCAUUCUCACCGUGGUCAUUAAUAAUCAUCUUAGGAGUUACACGUUGAUCUUAAACACACAAUAAAAAAGAAAGAUGACGUAUAGUACUAGACAUGUGGCUGAUGCUUGUAUUCUAUUUAAUAUAAGUAGGAAAGGAAGAUGAUGAGCUGCUAACAGUAAACAGUGAAUGAAUAAUAUUAUUAAUUUCCAUAUGUAAUAAAUUUAUACGGCUAAAUGCAUUGUAACUUACAUGUUGGUCUCGUCCUGUUCGGUCUCGUCAAUGGAAUCCAUGGUCUUUGAGGUGGAUGAUUUGCAGUAACUGAAACAAGAAGUUUGUAUCAAUUAGUAAAGGCAGCGCCAAAUUAUAAAACUAUCAUACCACCUGUAUAUUUAUGAUCCAUUAACGAGCCGCAAUUUGGCUACCAUAGUUGACCAAGAGCUACGUGAACCGAUUUGCCAAAUAAGUAGCUGACGUAUAGGUAACGUUUUAUAGUACCGUAAAAUGACCCACUUCUCGCAGAAGCUUUAAAAGCGGAGCAGUAAAACAGAGAGAAAGAGGGUGAGUGAGGAAUCGGAAUAUAUGAAGAGGUACAAAGCGGAGAGCGUUAACGACUCUCCGGAAAUGGCGGUAACAACCUUGAAACCCAGAGACGUGACUCAACUCUGGCACAAAUGGCGGUACAUUAGACAAGUGGCAGGAGCAAAGUACGACGAGGCGCGAAGGUAAUCAAAAUUAACAAUUCAAAGCCUCUGACGUCGUACUAGUCGUAGAACGUGUUGAAGACUCGGCAAGAGUGCUCUUGCCUUCGUCUCCUUAUAUCCGCAACCAACCAGCUAGUUGACAGACAGAGUUCGGGUAGUAAUCUUCCAGUUGAAGACCAGUUCUAACGAAAUUCCUCCAACAUAGAGGAGCUGGAACUCUCGACUCGUAAUUUGUUCGUGUUGCCAUUCGACGCAAUUCAUUUGCUAAAUUUGCCCUACGUCAUGUCACGACGUACCGCUGUCCUCAACAGAAUUCCAAGUUGGAGAACGCCGAACCGGAAAUUGAACUUAACUUUCUAUUUAGUUUUCGCAGCCAGUUCCAGAAGUUCACAAGUAUGUAGCAGGAUCAAUUGCGGAAGGCUUGGCGAACGUUAGAGAACUCGCUCGUCAAGAAACUUUCGACAACUUUAGCUUUCUCGUCAGUCGCGCAAACGUAGGACGGCGAAAAAAUAUUUCGUUUUGUAUUAGACGCUAUCCCGUUUCAUUUUUGAACGAAUUUUGUGCAGAAAAAUAUUUGACGCAAAGUGUAAUGUAAGUACAAUCGUUCGGCGUAUCUUUGAAUUGGAAUAAAUUACGUGAAUAGCAAUUUUGAUAAUUUUCUGAUAAUCAGUUUGAGAUAAAUUGCACAAUUCUGAAACUUUUAAAUGCGUGCUAAAUGAAAUUUUUUUUUUAUUUAAUAAUUUACACUCACAAUUUGUCCAAUUUGGACAUUUGGUGGAAUUUUUCAGCUGUUUGAUCAUCGUGUGGGCGGCUACCCCCAGCGGGGUCCAUCUUCGUGUGAAAUAAAAUUUGAGUGAGAAAAUUGUACAGAGUCGAAGAAUGAUCAACUUCAUCUUAUCUUGCUGUGCCCAAACUAUUGUUUAGUCAAUUGGCUAAUCUUGAUAAAAUAAACAUAAAUGAAUAACUAGAUAAGAUAGAGAUAAGAAUUAGAUAAGAAUUACCAUGUGAAGAAGGAGAAGAAGCGCCUGUGAACUGGUUAAGAAAACCCUGAAUAAAAACUGGGAAGAGAGGUACCUAAUCUAUAGUUUCUAGACCAGGCUACUUUAGUUUGCAGUAGUUUACAUUAGGAUCGAAUAAGCAGGUUUAGCCAUUAGUUUGAACAUAAGUGGAAGGAUGCUAGCGAUAAGAGUAGAUACCGAGUACCAAAGUGACAUCCACAGAAUAGGACACCAAUGUGCAGUAUGCGAAGUAAGAGUGUCAGGCCAAAGAGACGCACAAAAUAUAUGACAACUUAAUUUAAUGGGAAGCCAAGUCCCAUCCUGUGACACCUAGGGCUUAGGAUUACAUAAUAAAUAACAACAAUAACCAGAUAAGGCAGAGAAACAGUAAAUGACGUGUGACUUUUUCGUGAGUACAACGAAGUAUCUUGUUCAAUUUGAAAUUCCAUGUGCAUAGAAACGAAUACACAAGGUGAAUCACACAAAACAUUGCAAACUAACUUUUCUGAAACUGCUGCAGACUUGCUUUUUUUUUUUAACUAAAUGGGAUACCACAGUUAAUUAUUUGGAGCAUAACAAAUUCCUUGGAGGAGGAGAAAUAAAAAAUGAAAAUUCUCCUGUCUCAGUUUUUCAGAUGGAACGACAUGUUAAUUUUUCGUUUCCAUAAAAGCUACAGAAUGUUGUUUAACGCUUGCGAAGUACUUUCAUGUGCAGCAACUAACCAUGCCAGACCCUUUCCACCCUAGUUUUCAUCUUUGAUCUUCGGUUUCAUUCUUUAAAUCUCCUUCUCAAAGUUGUAUACUGUCCAACUUGCUUUUAUAUUACUGUUUGUUCUAUUUUAUUUAUUUGUUCUGACACGUUCAGUUUCGCAGUUGCCACCUGUGAUUUGUAAUGCAAUUUAUGUUCAUUCGUAUUCACUGUAGUUCGUUUCAUAUAGUUUGAUACAAGUAGUUUGUUUCAUCGUAUUCUCUUAUGUUCGACGUCUUGAAUGGCCUUUCAUAAGCCUGCAGAUUCACUGUAUAAUUUAAUAUGAAUUGGUCGAGUGUUGCAGCAACUGAACAUUCAAUGUAUUUGUAACUUAUUUCUUCUGGUAAUAAACGCUCAUAGGAAACAAGGACUAGCCAUCAUGCUAUAAAUGUUGUACCAUAGACGUUUUGUAAGAACGCUCACAAUCCUCCUUUGUAAUCCUAUUAACAGAACCUCGAGAUAAUCCAGUGCCAACAGUAACAACGUGAGUACAAGUGAGUGGAUUUUUUUCAAAAUGAAUAAACACUAAAAAAGCAUCGUCAGCAUUUGUAAUCAGACUAGAUCUAUUUCUUUUCUUCUCGCGAUCUUCCCACGAGUUCUUAAAGUCUUUUCAAUCUUAUAAAAUAUCUUUUACGUGUCUCUGGAUAUCUCGUAGUGCGCACACACAGUUGCAACGUUACGUUCAUCGAACACGAAGAGUAUAUCAAUCUUUUUAUUAUACGAAUACGAAUUUUUCGUUAUCUAAGGACAAACCGAGACAGCGAAACGGUUUUAGCGGCGUGAGCAAUGCAUUUGUUUAUCGUUAUUUCGCAACGUGAAUGUUCCCAUUUUCUAAAAGUAUAUGAGAAAAUAUACGUUGUUUCUGAAUGCCUUGAUGUAAUCCAGACCCUGCGCAAGUUAUGUUCCCCAUAUUUACAUUCCGUUUGCAACGCGUUUAUGGUCGCUAAAUUUGCUACGAUAAAUAUCGCAGUCGUUUAUUGCAUUCAUUUGAAAAACAUAAGCCGGAAGGAUAUCAUUCUUUCGCUUUAAUAUGCCGAUGAUCGAUACCAUAUUUUAGAAUCCAAGGCCAUCUCAAGAUCGUAAUAUUCUAUUUCGCUUGGUUGAUGGUGUCAGAGAAAAUAACGAUAGUUUUAACGAGGCUACUGAUAGAAUAAUACAGCUGAUAAAAAUUAAGAAGAAUGACAAGACUCGUAGAUCAUUCAGGAAAUAAUUACGAACUUUGUUGCAGCCAAUUUAAGUGCAAUUCAAAGCAAUGGCAAUGGUAACGUAUCGUGAAAUGUUUCUUCUUCUCUUUUUUAAUUUCCAGGUUGUUUAUAUACUAUUACGACAAUAAAUAAAUCUUGCGUGGAACGUUGAUAUGCAGGUACUUGCUCGAUAGCUCAUAGCCGUACUUGGUACUUGAUUAUUGUCAGCUAUUUAUGUUUACUGAGUGCUGAGUUGAACUCAACUAAAUCGCGUUAGGAGGUCUGUUGGUUGGAAUCUCUUGAGUUUCCUCUUUACUCCACUUUCUACCCAAAGCGUUUUUGCCAAUUGAUUAAGAUGAGAGUUUGUUCUCGUGUCCGCUUGCAUGAGUAAUUAUUCCUUCUUCAGCGGAUGCUAUUUGCAAACCUCUGCGUAUUCCAUUAUUUCCAAUCGAAUAAAUACACAAUGAAUUAUAAUCAUUCCACAAUUCUACGUUCACGAUCAGUGUCCAUCAGAUACGAAAAAUAAAUUCUAAUGGUCUGCAACGAAUAUUAUAACCAUGUUAUAGACAAUACAGAAGAAUCAGCUCAAUAGAAAGAAGAAGAAAUACAGAAUCAGCUCAAUAUCUACCAGAUACUCACGAUUGCCCUCCUAUGCUGAAACGUUCGCUUAUUGUUAUUUAUAAGGAAGAAGGAGAACGAACGUGGAAAUUAUAAAAAACUACUCUGCAAUUUUAGUUUCAAAUGUUUGCUCAAACACCUCAAUAUUCGGUACAGUGUUUCGCGGCAAAGAACGAUCGUCAAGGAUCAUUUUUUAUGUAAACUGAAGUAUCAUCUCAUGCUCAUAAUAAACUGUACUACGAGCUCUACCAAAUUAUUAGUGUCUUUCCUUCACAGACACGUCUUUUACAACAAGGCAUCUUUAUACAAACAUGAAACCUAUUCUGUCGAACGUUGCAAUCUUCAUCUUGGUAGAACAAAAUGGAUCAUACGUAUUUCGAUAAAAUAAUAUAGAACGAAAAAUAUCGUGCACUCAUUAUUUCCCUAUAAAACGAAAGAAACUUUUCGGACGACUUAAUACUCCGAACUCCAACGAA